CAGCCGCCGCGGUAAUACAGAGGGUGCGAGCGUUAAUCGGAUUUACUGGGCGUAAAGCGUGCGUAGGCGGCUUCUUAAGUCGGAUGUGAAAUCCCUGAGCUUAACUUAGGAAUUGCAUUCGAUACUGGGAAGCUAGAGUAUGGGAGAGGAUGGUAGAAUUCCAGGUGUAGCGGUGAAAUGCGUAGAGAUCUGGAGGAAUACCGAUGGCGAAGGCAGCCAUCUGGCCUAAUACUGACGCUGAGGUACGAAAGCAUGGGGAGCAAACAGGAUUAGAUACCCCCGUAGCCCUGUCUCUUAUACA
rnacentral:rRNA from 1 species